rnacentral:tRNA from 2 species
GGGCCGGACGCCGUGUUGGUGGCAGGCACCGGACUCAUAAUCCGGAGGAGGAAACUCCCCACGUGGGUUCGAACCCCACCCGGCCCA